rnacentral:rRNA from 3 species
GGUUAAGCGACUAAGCGUACACGGUGGAUGCCCUGGCAGUCAGAGGCGAUGAAGGACGUGCUAAUCUGCGAUAAGCGCCGGUAAGGUGAUAUGAACCGUUAUAACCGGCGAUUUCCGAAUGGGGAAACCCAGUGUGAUUCGUCACACUAUCAUUAACUGAAUCCAUAGGUUAAUGAGGCGAACCGGGGGAACUGAAACAUCUAAGUACCCCGAGGAAAAGAAAUCAACCGAGAUUCCCCCAGUAGCGGCGAGCGAACGGGGAGGAGCCCAGAGCCUGAAUCAGCAUGUGUGUUAGUGGAAGCGUCUGGAAAGGCGCGCGAUACAGGGUGACAGCCCCGUACACAAAAGCGCAUGUGCUGUGAGCUCGAUGAGUAGGGCGGGACACGUGGUAUCCUGUCUGAAUAUGGGGGGACCAUCCUCCAAGGCUAAAUACUCCUGACUGACCGAUAGUGAACCAGUACCGUGAGGGAAAGGCGAAAAGAACCCCGGCGAGGGGAGUGAAAAAGAACCUGAAACCGUGUACGUACAAGCAGUGGGAGCACAGGUUUACCUG